UCUGGGACUCUGGGGGUAUUGAAAUUUGAAAGUCCGUGGACGGAAAGGAAAAGAGAAAGAAAAAUGGGGUAUGAUUAUCAGCACCGCCAUCAAGCAACCGACGGACUUCUCAGCUUAUUCACAAAAGCGAAUCAUGAUCUUGCUUUAGUUCAUCUCAGGCUUGAGAAGGAGUUUCAACAAAUUUACCCCGACAACGCAAACCCUAUGAAGCUGGUUUCUAGGAUAAAAAAGAUGCAAGAAGAUAUAUCAACCUUGAAAGAGCAGUGCCACGAGCUAUUGGCAGCUAAACAGGACCUGAUUGAUAAGGCUCAGAGAACUCUGGUUGAGAACAGAGAUUUGGUGCAGCGCAUGCAAGCAUCCAUGGGUACUUCUCUCACUGGCGAAGAUGAUUCUGCAUUCACUAACUUCAAGCAGAUUAUUGAAGAAUGGACAGCACAAGUAAGAUCAAGAACAGGGGACGAAACCCAUGAUUCGGACUCUGGAGACGUGAACAAACUGCUCUUCUCAGCUAUUGUUGAAAGCAAUUGAGCUGCUCUAGCAAAGAUUAUAGAUGCCACCGUUAGUUUGUUCUGCAUCAUUUAGAUGCUUCUCUCUCUCUCUCUCUCUCUCCCUCUCUCA